CAGAAAGAAGAGAGAGAGGGCUGCUGGCAGGUUCAUUUGAGUAACUCGCCUGGAGGAAGUGUCCACACCACCUCCAUGGCCACAUCCCACCCUGGGGUGUGCGAAUGGGCAGAAAGGCUGUUGGAGCAGCAUCACACAAUAUGGGGAAUCUUUCCCACGCAUUUAAAAAAAAAUCACAGGCUAUAAAUAUUGUCAACUUGCUUAUUUCUGUCUGUUGUAAUCAUCAUAAAACUUUAGCGUUUAAGAGAGCAUGCCAACUCACAUGGAGUUCAAUGACUUUUUAAAAAUACAGCAUCCAGUCAGACCUAUGUGGGCGUCAUUGGAGAAUUUUUUUUCUUUCUUCCUAUUUUCAUAGGAAGCAUAGUAAAGAGGGUGGCUGGUUAUCUGCUCAUUUUGUAGAUAAGUUAUUUGUUUUCUUCUGCAUUCUUUUGGGCUGUUUUUACAGAGGAACUUAGAAAAAAAUCUCUGUCGUUGAGAGCUUUAUGAAGACAUCCAGCCUCAGCCGGGGGCAGAAGUGUCUAUCUUGCUCCUUGCCUUGCAAAAGGCGAAGGCAUCCGAAAUGUCCCGGCCCCGUUUGUUUCUGCAAGCUGAAGGGACAAUAUUUCCUGAACGAUAAAUAUAAUAGGAAGCUGCUUCUGGUCACACUUACUUAGGGGUCUGUUAGGGUUUCCAUGGUCUAAUUCCACAACAUUAUGCCAAGAUUCCUUUUUUUCCCCCUCCUCUUUCCCCUGCUUCAUUGUUGGCAGCUCUGGGAGAGCAGGACAGAAUUUUCUACCAGAAACGGAGUCAUGUUCAUUUGUUGAGAUGUGAAGAGUAUUAUAUCCAAACAAUUAGUGAGGGGAAAGCAAAUUACAUCCUGAAAGAUAGGCUAUUAAAGAGGAAACAACCCUUUUAGCUUAAAAGAUGCCCUUCAAAGCCUCUCCCCACCUUCGCUCCAGAGUCUGUCCUGAGGUUUGCCCACCGUGGGGAGUGCACAACAUUGUGGGCACCAGCCCUCUGGCUUCUAAGGCAGAAUUUCUCUCCAGUCAUUGACAAAACUAUAAACACUAUAAACGCGGGGCUUCCAGCCAGGGCCGAGGGGGUCUGCCUAGGCUCCCACCCACAUAGGAGAGGGGAGCCACAGUCCUAGCCAUUCCAAACCCCAGGGCUGGCAGAUCUGCCUGGGUCUGCUUUAUUUGGUGUUUUGCCACAAAGGAAGCUGCCUUUCUCCCACCGGGCCCCCUCCCCACAAACCGGUCUUUUCAAUAAUAAUAUUUGUUAUGAAGGUUAUUGGGUAAUUAUUGCGAUUUUGUGAAGCAGCCCUUGCUGGAGGUGAAGUCUGUCAUCGCCUAACAAAUGACGCCCGUGCAGUUCACUGCCGGGUUAAGUAAAUGCAGAGAAGAUAAAUCUGCACACCCUAGGAAUCGCCAGCAGAGCACGCUUUAGUACAAGUUCACAGUCAACUUGCCUGCCUGGGCCGGCUCUCCCAACAAUUAGGGCUGCGUCUUUAUUUUUAAAUAAAGGAAAAGUCUCCAGCUCCCAUCGUCUGCUUUCUUCCCAUCUUCUCUUGCCUUCCCUUUUUUCGAGGUUCCCCUACUUCUGUGAGGUGUCCUACUCCAAAUUUGACUCCAAAUAAUGACGAGUGAUUUAAAAAUAAUCUCAUUCCUAUUGAAGUGCUGACACAAGGAGGUAGGAGGCCGAUUUGGCAGGAAAUACAGUCACAAACACACAAGAAUAUCCAAUUCGCCCUCUUAUUCCAAAAGGCGGUGGCAAGCAGGGCGUCCCUGAGCUCCCGGGGUUGGGUGGGGGGCUUCGCCUUGAAAGAAAAGGCCCAGCUUUGUGUAUCUUUGUGGUUGCAACUGCAGGUCAAAAAGUUGAGGGUCAAAAGUUUACGUUGUGCAGCACUCUUAGUCAUCUGCCCAGACAGAGCUUGAGGUCGGUGUUAGAGCUGCGAUCUUGACUAUCAGCACAAAAGAUAAAACGGCUCGGAGCGCCGCGUGUAUCACCGUAUGGACUCCAGGUGAACCCUAGUGGUUGAAUGACCUCAAUUACGAAGGAAAGGAUAGAAAAUUCCUCUUUUCAAGAGUAAUAUAUGCUGUAUUUCAUCUUGAAUGAUCGCUCCCAUUCUGAGGGAAUAGCAGCAGGUAAAUAGGCAUAGAUUAUUGGAACACCCACACCUUAGCUGCUGGAGCACCAGGAGUCUGUUUGUGGCUUCGUCACAAAGUGAAGAAGCUCAGCACUCAUCAGUGGACCUUUAAGAAAUAACGUAGCACGUUUCCAGUGUUCCAUCAUACCUUCCAAGGGGAGGGAAGGGGGCAGGAAACUUCCUUUAUCUGAACUCUGUGAUUGUGAUUGGCCAGUUUGUGUCCUCUUUAGUACCCAUCGUGAUCCCUGAAGUGUGGGAGGAAAAGGGCAAACACAGGCACUUCUUGCAAAAUGUACUUUGCAAUUUUCAAGCACAGACUGCUUUUUCUGAAACUGUCACCCACGAAAUGCAAAGAGCUGGGAAGGGAAAAAAAAAGGAAGUGGAAAUCUUCUGGGGAAAAAAAAAAAAAGGAUUCCCUUACCCCUCCACCAGUGAGAAAAUGCUUAUUGGUACCAUGAAAAUGUUCCCAUCGUUAAAACUUGUUCAUUAUGGUUUAUUGUUAACCCUACACUGAAUGUAAGCGAGUGGUACAAUCUCUGGGUGGAUAAACUGUGACGUGUAUGCCUUUUGAGCGGGAAGGUGGAAUCGACAAAUGCCAGACCACGGAAGAUCACUCCGACAGACUUCUUUUCUCCAGAAAAUACUCUUAAAAAUACAUUUGGAAUAAAAGCUAAGGCGAGAGGAAGCGAGCUGAGGAGGGAGGGCAGGAGAGUAGAAAAGAAGGAAUAGCGUUUUGAGGAAGCUGACUGGAACCACGUCUGGGUGUGCUUUGCAGCUGGAGAACUAAACAGUAUUUUAUUUGUCCUGCACCUAUAUUAACCUUAAGUGUUAGUGCCAUUAGCAUCUGUUUUCCGGGGGAUAUACUUUUCUUGUCUGUGCAUUGAUCUUCGCAUAAUCCGUGUGGGGAAACAGAGGAGAGAGAGAGAGAAUUUUUUUUCCCCCCAGGUUUUUCUUGUAACUCUAGAAAGAAGCUCAUUCAGCUACGCAGAAUGUAGACCCUUGCAGGGCCCCUUAAGAUCAUCCCACUCUAUUCCCGUUGGCUGGAUAGACUGGAUUUGCUGGUGCCAGGUACUUUCAGCGGCAGAAGCAAAUCUUUCCCAAACACUGCCUUCGUGGAAGUGAUCAGAUUGCUUCCGCUGUGCGAUGUGUAAAGUUUUCACUCUGGCCAAGAGCUUGAAGCCAAAUGGGGGUGUGCCAGAUGAGAAGAGAGGAAAGGGAACAACUGUGGUGACUGCUGUUACAGCAGUGCACACUUCAGCACAUCUGGGCGGGUGAAAUGAACAAAACGGAUCGCUGCUCUACUGCUCACCAAGACAGUUCUGAGUCUCUUUGAGAAAAGCCUGGUUAUAGUGCUCUUGGUUUAAAACGUGCCACACCUUAGAAACAUGUCAGCUUCAAGGAUCACAGACACCUCUUAGCUACCUUUUUCAGGUAAAAGAAAAGAUCCCUGCAGAAGUUAUUGUUUUUAGAGUGCUUACUUUUUUUAUUUUUUAAUUUGGAGGAUUUUAAUCUUUAGGCCUCUUGCACAAUCCUGGUUAAAAUUCAUGUCUCAUCUGAAUGUGAAUUUCAAUUCUUAUGCCUGGGUUGGCUUCGCUAGCAGAAACUACUACAAGGAAAUGACCCCCAAACAAUUAAUUGGUUAAAUGCCUGAUAAAGUACUGCUACUCUAAAAUCCUUGGCCGAGUGUAGGUGGCGGGGGAAGCCCUCAAAUGCCACCAUCAGGCAUUUUGAAAUGCAGCCCCUCAGCUCUGUGCUCCAGAGACGUGCUUCAGAUAGGGAACAGUCAGUCUGGGGGACUCUGGCUCUAGAGAACAAAGGACAAAUACAGUCAAUACAUUCCAUAACGUUUACAUUUCCUUUGCUCCCCCCACCCCCACCCCCUUGGUUUUCCCUGAGAAGGAGUGACCUGGGCAAAGCACCCUGCUCCCUAAAAGACACUGUAUAGACCUUUUAGAAGCGCAAAGUCCAAGGCCGAGGUGAACUUCAGGUCAGCGCGUCUAACAAAUAUGAAAAUGUCGGCUGGUGAAGGGCGCGCCUUGUGAUUUAACAAAGACUGUCAAUGCGUAAGAUUAAUAAGAAACAAAAUGCACACGGUGUCACUGUUCGGUCACUUUGAAACUUGGGACAGGGUUGCAUUCAAGAGGGGAGGCUGUUCCAAAUAUAUUCAAAAUGAUUCAAAUCAGAUUCAAACUAGGCUGCAAAACCCUGCCUCCCUCUCACCCUCCCCUUGGACUCCCUUCGUUCUCCUUCUCCAUCUGGGAUUCAAGGACCCGAUGAAAAGUUAUUUCACUUAAUGGGAUUGUAAGAAAGCUUUUGUUGGGAAUAUACGUUAUCCCUGCACGUGGAAAUGAGCAAAUGUGCUUACCAGUUUCCCAAGAAAAGGAUAAUGCUUUCACCCUGCUUGGGACUGGAGCCAGUUGGUGUGCGAAGAUUAGCACGCUCCCUCUCUGCUUGAUGUCAGGGCAUCCCAUCUUUUUCCGGGCGAGAUGCUGCUGGUAAACUUCGGUUUAUUUAUUAAUUGAGUUAGUUUCUUCCUGGCUUUACUUUGGUGUCUUGGAUCUCAUGCGAAGGCAAGAGGUCUUGUUUUGUUCUGUUUUUCAAAAGAUUAUUUGAUUCAAUGGAAUGAUGCUAUGGCUUGCAAAGAGAGAUUGUGGAAGGAUCAGAAAAGGUACUGAGAUUGUUUAUUACAGCCAUAAAUCUUGCAGUAAAAUGUCAAAAUGUCGGUGUGUGAGAUAACACUUGGUGGUCCUGGCUCCGUUUGUGUUUAUGAUAGGAACCACAAAGACAAGUUACAGGCCUUGGGGGGAUUCUGUGUAAGCCCAUCUUCCUAAAGUAAUAGAACCACAUGAAACACAGGCACAGUUAACUCGUUUAGGUUAACCAUAUACAAAACAGUGCCCGAGUUUCGUCAAUACGUUAAAAUAGAAACGCAGUAGAAGGUUCUGAGGCUAAACAACAUGAAUUUUCUGUUUUAGUGUCUGUAAAUAAUAUUGAACAGACAUGGUUAAGACCCUAGUACUCAAGGCCGAUGACAUGAGGAGAGGGGCAAAAUUUCCUUGUCAUGUUUUUUCCUCCCUGAAGCUUAGAGAGCUCAGUUUUGUAAAUUACAUCGUGUGUGUGUGUGUGUGUAUGUGUAUUACUCACGUUAUAUGGCAUAUAUGUGUAUAUAUUAUUUUUCCUGCUGUAGAGAGAUAUUGGUUUAGGCAACUGUAUCACAGACUGGAUUUUCCCCCCGAGCCUAGAGAGGAUGUCUAAAGAUUACAUUCAGUGUUGAUUUCUCUCUGUGGCUCAGAUUUCAUUUUAAAAAUUUUUCAAGGUGCCCCAUGUCGAUGGACAGCACUCUUCACAGACACACAUCCAAUGUGGAAAACCUCUUUGUACCACUUCAGGGUGAUUGCAGUUAGAAAGCUAACAUGAUCCCUUUUUUAACCUCUUUUCCUAAAUUAGUUUAAAGAUUAGUCCCAUAUAAUAGGCUUUAUGUGGCUAAGCAUUAAAUGACUAUCCAUCAAAUGGAUAUAUUCCAGCAUUUAGUAACUCCUAUGAGUAACCGAUAUAAAUGAAGAUAGAACUGACAUUCCUUUUGAAGUGUCUCCAGACUUAAGCUAUAACUUUCCUUGUCUGCUUUCCAGACUUAGUUGUGAGAAGGCUGUUUAUACUGUUCUUUGAAAAAAUCAACUAAGGUGCACCAGCUGAAAAAUCUUUGCUUUGCUUGCCCAUAUGAAAGUAUUUUUAGAAUCGAGACUAUGCUAGUUUGCACUGCUUUAAUCUGCGAUGAAAAGUAGGAUCUAGGUGUGUCUGUUAGAAAAGGAAACGGAAAGUACACACUACGAUCGUGUAAGGCAUCAGUAUUUACUUCAGAGAUCAACAUUAGGUAUAAUUAAUAUGUAAUUCAUUUGUCAAUAACGGCAGUUAAUUGACCCAUCAUAUUUCAAUGACCAAAUGGCAGGCAAAAGUCCUCUUUCUCUACUUUCCAGAGCUGCCGAUGUCGUUAAUAUGCUAACUUUCAGUAAUUCAGAAACUCUAGACUGUUCUUAAAUAUACCUUUUCGUGUCAGUCUGGAAAAGCUGAGACAAAAACAUUCUCAGCGGGAAAAGACCGGUGGCACAAUGCCUGUGCUAUCCUUAGCUUGUUUUUGUUUGGGGAGUGUUCUUUAGUAGGAAGAUGUUGGUUUCCAUGCUGUAUUUUGUGGCGGCAUCGUCGCUUCUAUCCAUCCCCAUCGUCUCUCUCACAAUUGCACCUAUUAAAUUCGAGCAUGUUUAAUUCUGAAUGCCACUUCCAUCAAAUGAGAUGCUAUUAGAAGGUUCUCGUUUUUCUUAGGGAAACAACCAAAUAGAUUCUGCUUC
rnacentral:lncRNA from 1 species